CUCAGACCACUUCAACCAAAACAUGAAUCUGUGAUUGUGAUCUCUGAAAGUCAGUCCUUUGAUCCACUCAAAUAGGAAUAUGGGUAAAGAGAAAGGAAGAAAGCAAGGUUAAUGAUAGUUAUGAUUCAAGGCUUUAAGGAUGCUGAGACCGCCCUCACAUACUGGGAAAUGGUACGAUUCCAUGU